GUCCACGCUGUAAACGAUGUCAACUAGCUGUUAGUGCAUGGAAAUGCAUUAGUGGCGAAGCUAACGCGAUAAGUUGACCGCCUGGGGAGUACGGUCGCAAGAUUAAAACUCAAAGGAAUUGACGGGGGCCCCGCACAAGCGGUGGAGCAUGUGGUUUAAUUCGAUGCAACGCGAAGAACCUUACCUACUCUUGAAAUCCUCAGAACUUGUCAGAGAUGACUUGGUGCCUUCGGGAACUGAGAGACAGGUGCUGCAUGGCUGUCGU
rnacentral:rRNA from 1 species